rnacentral:misc_RNA from 1 species
GAAAUGCGAUAAGUAAGGUGAAUUGCAGAAUUCAGUGAAUCAUCGAAUCUUUGAACGCACAUUGCGCCCCUUGGUAUUCCGAGGGGCAUGACUGUUCGAGCGUCAUUACACCACUCAAGCUAUGCUUGGUAUUGGGUGCCGUCCUUAGUUGGGCGCGCCUUAAAGACCUCGGCGAGGCCUCACCGGCUUUAGGCGUAGUAGAAUUUAUUCGAACGUCUGUCAAAGGAGAGGACUUCUGCCGACUGAAACCUUUUAUUUUUCUAGGUUGACCUCGGAUCAGGUAGGGAUACCCGCUGAACUUAAGC